rnacentral:rRNA from 1 species
UAAUACGGGGGGUGCGAGCGUUGUCCGGAAUCACUGGGCGUAAAGGGCGCGUAGGUGGCUUGGUAAGCGCGUGGUGAAAGCCCGGGGCUCAACCCCGGGUCUGCCAUGCGAACUACUAUGGCUUGAGCACUGUAGAGGCAGGUAGAAUUCCGGGUGUAGCGGUGGAAUGCGUAGAGAUCCGGAA